GCAGCAGUGGGGAAUUUUGGACAAUGGGCGCAAGCCUGAUCCAGCAAUGCCGCGUGCAGGAAGAAGGCCUUCGGGUUGUAAACUGCUUUUGUACGGAACGAAACGGUCUGGGUUAAUACCUCGGGCUAAUGACGGUACCGUAAGAAUAAGCACCGGCUAACUACGUGCCAGCAGCCGCGGUAAUACGUAGGGUGCAAGCGUUAAUCGGAAUUACUGGGCGUAAAGCGUGCGCAGGCGGUGAUGUAAGACAGUCGUGAAAUCCCCGGGCUCAACCUGGGAAUUGCGAUUGUGACUGCAUCGCUGGAGUGCGGCAGAGGGGGAUGGAAUUCCGCGUGUAGCAGUGAAAUGCGUAGAUAUGCGGAGGAACACCGAUGGCGAAGGCAAUCCCCUGGGCCUGCACUGACGCUCAUGCACGAAAGCGUGGGGAGCAAACAGGAUUAGAUACCCUGGUAGUCCACGCCCUAAACGAUGUCAACUGGUUGUUGGGUCUCUUCUGACUCAGUAACGAAGCUAACGCGUGAAGUUGACCGCCUGGGGAGUACGGCCGCAAGGUUGAAACUC
rnacentral:rRNA from 1 species